GAGCCGGAGCCCCCGAGCGCGCUGCGGCCACACGCGGUCCCCGGGCAGCCACGCGCGCUUCUCAGUCUGCGCAGACGCUUCGCACUUACGUGGUAAAACUGCUGUUUUCGCUUCAGUUAAAAUGGAAAAAAAAUAAAAAGGAAAAUCUCUCACGUUAGGCACUACUUAAGUUGCUUUCCAUGUAUCCUUGGGAAAUCUGAAGGAUCGCGGCCAAAAUGUGAAGCUAAAAUUACGCACGACGCCCAUGCAACGCUCCCGGACGAUUGUGUCUGGAAAAGCGCCUCGCAGGCUGCUAAUGCAUUUGACACAGAUGUUUCUUUUCUCCGAAAACGCGGCUCCAACUGUGAAUAGCUGUAGACGCCGCUGAAGCCGAGCCCGCCGCCUACCGGAUGCGGAGAUCUCCGUGGCGACCCCUGCAGCAAGCCCAGGGCCCUUCCCCAGGCGCGUCCGCCCGCGCAGGCCGGACCGAAGGCUCCGAAUGAAGCGGGCCCACCUCGGCUCUCUGCGGCGCGACACUGUUUGAAGUAAAGGAGAACCGAAAACCCGCCUAUUUUCCUGUCAGAUGGGUGGUGUCGUGGCUUUUAUACAUCCCGGAGGGGGGAACAACAGACAAGAAAAGCAAAAAGCAAAGAAAGAAGGAAGAGGAGGAGGAAGAAAGAGAGGAGGACAAAGGACAGGGAGAGAGGAAGGAGACUGAGAUCAACCAACAGGAUAAUUUUUUCUCCCUAUAUACCUUUACUACACUGAGAAGGAAGAUUCGCAAGUUUCUUUAGCAAGCCACAGAAUUCAACUAGGGAUAUUUCCUUAUCAUAGGAUGGGAUAGGAAAAAUACCAAAAAAUGGAACCCAUGAUUUUGACCCGUAAAUCUAUGUGCUUUUGAGAAGUUAUUUCCUUUAAUAAGUACAUGAAUGGAGACCAAAUUAAACACCCUUUUGUAGAAGUAAUACGAGCAUGACAAGCUUUAUUAAAUUUAAGAAGCUUUACGUUACUUACAGCUAUUCAAAAUUAUUCCUUUUGGUUUUGUUUAAACUGAAUUUUAUCACUGUUUUUUAAUUCAUAUGUUAAUUUCUAAAAACAUAGUGGCUAUGAAUAUAUGUAAAAGAAGAGAGCACUCAUUAUUAAAGUAUCUAUAGGAAGAUUUAGGGUUUUCAAAAACUUUGAAUUAUUUAUUCAAUCCCAAAUAGCUAUGGAACACUUACUUUGUGCUCACAGUGGCUAGCAGGUAUUGAAAUCACAGAAGGAUGUAGAACAUUUGCUAACCUGUGGGUGUAAAAUUUAGGUUGGACAAAAAGACAAGAGCAACCAGGUUGUUUACUUGGUACAUGAAAAAUGGGCCUCAGUAUUUCUGCCUAUUAUUAUAUAAGAAGAAAUAAAAUAUGAGCUUUUACUUUUAGGUGAAAUGAGGUAUUCUAGGAUAUUACAAAUAAGUUUGACUUAAACUGUUGUUAAAGUUAAUCUAAAUAAAUUAGUCAACCUGACAAAUGGAA